rnacentral:rRNA from 1 species
UCGGGAAUAUUGCACAAUGGAGGAAACUCUGAUGCAGUGACGCCGCGUGCAGGAAGAAGGUUUUCGGAUUGUAAACUGCUUUAGACAGGGAAGAAACAAGACAGUACCUGUAGAAUAAGCUCCGGCUAACUACGUGCCAGCAGCCGCGGUAAUACGUAGGGAGCAAGCGUUAUCCGGAUUUAUUGGGUGUAAAGGGUGCGUAGACGGGAAUUUAAGUUAGUUGUGAAAUCCCUCGGCUUAACUGAGGAACUGCAACUAAAACUGAAUUUCUUGAGUGCGGGAGAGGAAAGUGGAAUUCCUAGU